rnacentral:rRNA from 1 species
AUACGGAGGGUGCAAACGUUGUUCGGAAUUACUGGGCGUAAAGCGCGCGUAGGCGGUUUGUUAAGUCAGAUGUGAAAGUCCACAGCUCAACUGUGGAAGUGCAUUUGAAACUGGCAGACUUGAGUACUGGAGGGGGUGGUGGAAUUCCCGGUGUAGAGGUGAAAUUCGUAGAUAUCGGGAGGAAUACCGGUGGCGAAGGCGACCACCUGGCCAGAUACUGACGCUGAGGUGCGAAAGCGUGGGGAGCAAACAGAAUUAGAAACCCUAGUAGUCC